CAAUCAUGAAUGUUCCUGCGACCCCUUCCAGAACCUCAGGGUACCGUGCUCCCGAGGUAAUCGAAACUCGGAAACACACUCAUAAAUCAGACGUGUACAGUUUCGGUGUCCUCCUUUUGGAAAUGCUUACUGAGAAGCGGAGUCGAUCUCGAAGAGAUCGCUACGAAACAACGCGGAGAAGUUUGAGUUUCAAGCCGAAGUUUCGCGACUUAUGGAUAUUCUCAUCAAUUCGCUUUACAGUAACAAAGAUAUCUUCCUUAGGGAGCUUAUUUCAAAUGCUUCUGAUGUAAGCUUAUUUAGAAUUGGAAAAUUGUUGCAUUUUGAUUUUGUAUACUGAAAAUGAACUUUGUAUUGAUGGGAAAUGAGUUGUGUGUUUUAGGCAUUGGACAAGAUUAAGUUCCUUUCUCUAACUGUUAGAGAGAUUUUGGGUGAAGGUGACAACGCCAAGCUUGAAAUCCAGAUUAAGUUAGAUAAGGAAAAGAAAAUUCUAUCUAUUAGAGACAGAGGUAUUGGUAUGACAAAGGAGGAUUUGAUAAAGAAUUUGGGGACCAUAGCUAAAUCUGGAACUUCUGAAAACAAUUGCUUCGCCAGGACGUGGUAUUUUGGCCAUGGAUAAAUCCAAUGCUACAUGUGGAAAGCGGUUGGAUUCAAUUGAAUUAGAGAACACCGAAGCUAACCGUCAAGCAAGGCGUAAAAUUAUAUAUGAAGAAAGUGUUAUGACUUAGUUAAAAUAUAAUUUUUAUGUGUAUGAUUUUAUAAUACUUGAAAUAUUAUGA